UUUCUGGUCACUUCCUUUCUAUUUAUGAUUGGUUAGUUGCACAAACAGCAAAAUUUGAUUGGUGCAUUCAAACUAUUCAACAGGAAGUUUACAAUUAUACUAGGAAGUGUAUGAAUAUCUCGAGGAACUUGAUGAAAUGAAUUGGUCAGCCCGAGGUAAUGUAUUGAAUCAAUAUUUGAGCAACACUUCAAUUGGAACGACAGUAAAAGAAAAUAAAUUAGAAAAAUAGUUGAUUAUGAAACAUUUAUUGAUUAUAUAUGCGGUGUAUGUGUAUGUGUGUAGGAAUAAUGAUUGUGACAUUUUUUAUUCAUGUAAUAAAAAUACUUCUUAUAUACUUUGUUGGGAUUAAAUAGUAUAGUCGUAAUAAUUUGUUUUCAUUGUUAUCGGUAUUUUAAUAAGAAGCGUUAUAAAAAUAGUCAGUAUGAUGUAAGUAUACACUUUGGAAGAAAUUAAGUAAGGAUGUAACUAGAACCAGAAAACUCUCAAUAUUCAGUUUAAAUAAUUAAUGGAAAAUUAUAUAAUCAAAUAGAAAAAAGUAUCCUGAAAGAAUUCAGAAAUAAAAA